CCUACGGGCGGCAGCAGUGAGGGAUAUUGGUCAAUGGGGGAAACCCUGAACCAGCAACGCCGCGUGAGGGAAGACGGUUUUCGGAUUGUAAACCUCUGUCCUCUGUGAAGAUAAUGACGGUACCUGACUAAGAAGCCACGGCUAACUACGUGCCAGCAGCCGCGGUAAUACGGAGGGGGCAAGCGUUAUCCGGAUUUACUGGGUGUAAAGGGAGCGUAGACGGCUUGGCAAGCAAGAUGUGAAAGGCUGGGGCUCAACCCCAGGACUGCAUUUGGAACUGGCAUGCUAGAGUGUCGGAGAGGCAGGCGGAAUUCCUAGUGUAGCGGUGAAAUGCGUAGAUAUUAGGAGGAACACCAGUGGCGAAGGCGGCCUGCUGGACGAUGACUGACGUUGAGGCUCGAAAGCGUGGGGAGCAAACAGGAUUAGAUACCCCUGUAGUC
rnacentral:rRNA from 1 species